rnacentral:rRNA from 1 species
UACGUAGGGGGCAAGCGUUGUCCGGAUUUAUUGGGCGUAAAGAGCGUGUAGGCGGUUUGGUAGGUCCGUUGUGAAAACUCGAGGCUCAACCUCGAGACGCCGAUGGAAACCAUCAGACUAGAGUCCGGAAGAGGAGAGUGGAAUUCCUGGUGUAGCGGUGAAAUGCGCAGAUAUCAGGAAGAACACCCGUGGCUAAGGCGGCUCUCUAGUACGGUACUGACGCUGAGACGCGAAAAGCGUGGGGAGCGAACAGG